rnacentral:sRNA from 1 species
CUUCGKGAAGUAAAAAGUCGUAACAAGGUUUCCGUAGGUGAACCUGCGGAAGGAUCAUUGUCGAGACCCACAUCGGAUGGCUCGCGAACUGGUCUCAAAGAAGACCACUUGCCCCCCCGGGAUGUGGGCCCGGUGCAUAGUCGGGCCUUGCUCCCCUUCCUCUGGCGGCGUAUUGCCUCGUCCCCUGCGGGCGGGAGUGGCUAUGCGGUCGGAGGGACCUUGGCGCCGUCGGCGUCGGGCGGAACACGAUUGUUCCGGGCACCUAGUGCUCGGUGUGAUAAGAACGCAUGACUCCCGGCAACGGAUAUCUCGGCUCUUGCAUCGAUGAAGAACGUAGCAAAAUGCGAUACUUGGUGUGAAUUGCAGAAUCCCGUGAACCAUCGAGUCUUUGAACGCAAGUUGCGCCCGAGGCCAUCCGGUCGAGGGCAUGCCUGCCUGGGCGUCACGCCUUGCGUCGCUCCGUGCGCCCCUGCAUCGUCAGGGAACCGUGUUGGAAGCGGAGAUUGGCCCCUCGCGUCCGUAUGCCGUGGUGGGUUGAAGUUGAGAGUUCGGGCUCCUAUCUAAGGCGACAGGGCGCGGCGAGUGGUGGUCGUCAGGUCCCCAAUUGGGGAAGCACGCUUGCCGGAUGCCGCGAUCCAGCCAUGCCUCGUGUGUGAUGCUCGCUCAAAAAGUGCCCCCACAUGGGGCGGUGCGAUUGCACCCCCUCGCAAUGCGACCCAAGGUCAGGCGGGACUACCCGCCGAAUUUAAGCAUAUC